rnacentral:rRNA from 1 species
AACUGGGAUUAGAUACCCCACUAUGCUCAGCCCUAAACUUUGAUAGUCUAACUACACUCACUAUCCGCCUGGGUACUACGAGCUUUAGCUUAAAACCCAAAGGACUUGGCGGUGCUUAAGAUCCCCCUAGAGGAGCCUGUUCUA